AUUUUGAAACAAGCUUGGGUACUCUCAGAUUCAACUCUACAUGCCCUUACUUCAAAUAUCAUAGAUUUUUGUGUCUUUUAAAUAAUUUGAUAAUAAAAUUUCCAGUACAGAUUCAAUUUUGACAUUUAGACUGCAUAAACUGUAGUAAACAGAACUUGUAUAACCAUAAUUUGAAUAAAAAAAUUGUUCCAGAUGCAAGCUAACAGGCUCACACGA
rnacentral:misc_RNA from 1 species